rnacentral:rRNA from 1 species
GACGAACGCUGGCGGCGUGCUUAACACAUGCAAGUCGAACGGAAAGGCCCUGCUUUUGUGGGGUGCUCGAGUGGCGAACGGGUGAGUAACACGUGAGUAACCUGCCCUUGACUUUGGGAUAACUUCAGGAAACUGGGGCUCAUACCGGAUAGGAGCUCCUGCUGCAUGGUGGGGGUUGGAAAGUUUCGGCGGUUGGGGAUGGACUCGCGGCUUAUCAGCUUGUUGGUGGGGUAGUGGCUUACCAAGGCUUUGACGGGUAGCCGGCCUGAGAGGGUGACCGGCCACAUUGGGACUGAGGUACGGCCGAGGCUCCUACGGGAGGCAGCAGUGGGGAAUAUUGCCCAAUGGGCGGAAGCCUGAUGCAGCAACGCCGCGUGCGGGAUGACGGCCUUCGGGUUGUAAACCGCUUUCGCCUGUGACGAAGCGUGAGUGACGGUAAUGGGUAAAGAAGCACCGGCUAACUACGUG